GACGAACGCUGGCGGCGUGCUUAACACAUGCAAGUCGAACGGAAAGGCCCUGCUUUUGUGGGGUGCUCGAGUGGCGAUCGGGUGAGUAACACGUGAGUAACCUACUCUUCAUUUUGGGAUAACUUCAGGAAACUGGGGCUAAUACCGGACAGGAGCCCCUGCUCCAUGGAGGGGGUUGGAACGUUUCGGCGGUCGGGGUUGGACUCGCGGCUUAAGAGCUUGUUGGUGGGGUAGUGGCUUACCCACGCUUUGGCGGAUACCCGGCCUGAGAGGGUGGACGGCCACAAUGGGACUAAGGGACGGACCAGACUGGUACAGGGGACAGCAGGGGGGAGUAUUAUACAAUGAGAGGAAGCCGGAUGAAAAGGCGCCGCGGGCGGGAAGACGGCCUUCGGGUUGUAAACCGCAUUCGCCUAAGACGAAGCGGGAGUGACGGUAAUGAGUAAAGAAGCACCGGCUAACUACGUG
rnacentral:rRNA from 1 species